rnacentral:rRNA from 1 species
GAGUGCGAUCAUACCAGCACUAAAGCACCGGAUCCCAUCAGAACUCCGAAGUUAAGCGUGCAUGGGUGAGAGUAGUACUAGAAUGGGUGACCCCCUGGGAAGUUCUCAUGUUGGACUCC